rnacentral:rRNA from 1 species
ACUCAAAUGAAUAGACGGGGGCCCGCACAAGCAGUGGAUCAUGUGGUUUAAUUCGAAGCAACGCGAAGAACCUUACCUGGAUUUGACAUCCUCUGACAACCCUAGAGAUAGGGCCUUAGUAGCAAUACUACAGAGUGACAGGUGCUGCAUGGCUGUCGUCAGCUCGUGUGGUGACAUGUUGGGUUAAGUCCCGCAACGAGCGCAACCCUUGUUCUUAGUUGCCAGCAUUAAGUUGGGCACUCUAAGGAGACUGCCGUGGUUAACACGGAGGAAGGUGGGGAUGACGUCAAGUCCUCAUGGCCUUUAUAUCCAGGGCGACACACGUGAUACAAUGGAUGGUACAAACGGAUGCCAAACCGCAAGGUGGAGCUAAUCUGAAAAAGCCAUUCUCAGUUCGGAUUGGAGUCUGCAACUCGACUCCAUGAAGUUGGAAUUGCUAGUAAUCGCGGAUCAGAACGCCGCGGUGAAUACGUUCCCGGGCCUUGUACACACCGCCCGU